AUCCUGCUGAUGAGUUUUAAAUAGGACGAAACGCGCGUCUCAGGU
rnacentral:hammerhead_ribozyme from 1 species